CGAGAAAACCGGUCAGCAUUUAUUCGGAGAACGUUCUUGGUGGAUUUAAAAGGAAUUAGUGUGCCUUGGCUCACUCCAGAUGCCACCCGGCUCUAUCUUUAGAAACUUCUAACCGAGGGAAGGUUCCAGGGAUGUGAGCAUCCGUGUUCUCCAAGGUUGACUCUAUAAAUACCCUCCCAGUCGGCCUCGGGAGCUCUGUCCUCCGACCCAGAAAUAGCCCCUUCAGUCAGCAGUCCUGGAAGCAGCCCUUAGCCCAGAGCCCUAAGAAGUAUGGGCGCUGAGCGGGGCCCAGGGCCGCCACACGCCGCCUCCCCCACGGCCACGCACGGCUCACCGUGCUGCUCGGCUUUGCUGCAGAGCCCAGGAGUGGGGAGGAAGCAAGCAAACAGAAAAUCCAGUCACUGUCCCAGAGCGUGGGGGACAGAAGCUGGGGGACGGGGACGGCAAGGCCCCGGCCGGACGGCUGAAUGCUCACUGCUCCCGUGACUGUUCUCAGAGCUUCUGCUCGGCACCCGGCGGCACGCCAGGCCGGUAGGCGCCUUCGAAGGCCAACGGGCCUGACACAGAGGCCGGCGGGCAGUGCUCUCUCCUUCCGGGAGGCCUAGAAACCCGAACACCAUAGUGAUUUGAUUCGGGGAAGUGGAGCCUGACUAGGAAAGGGGGACAUCCUCGGAAAAGCAAGGAAACCGACGUCAUUCCCUCAGGUCUGUUGGUAGCUGCCUCCCGCUUUGCACAUUUCUGCCAACGAGCCCGGAGAGGAGGGCCUGCCGUUCGAAUGAUGCCUGAAGUGCGCCAGGCCGGCUCUGUAUUGAAGGUAACCUGGGUGAGCUUGUCUGUGGGGAAGCUAAGUGUGCCUGCUGUACACACGCACACGCACGCACACACACACAUGCGCACACACACGCACGCGCACACACUCUACCCUCACUCAGUCCCCACCUCCUAGAUCUAGCUCCCCACCGCAGAUGUGAAAACCAGCACAUGGCCAGGCUGUCAGUGGGCACAUGAGGGCUUUUGUUCCCCAGGAUCAGCUCCCGGCCCACAGUCAAGGUGACUGUGGAGCCCUGUGGCCUCAGCAAGACCCUUCACCUCCAGAUGUCUCCGUGUUUGCCUUGCGACUGGGGGCUCAUCAGUCCGGCAGCUGUGAAGCAUCUGAAGAGCUAAUGUUUCUAAAACAGCACAGAGCAGCUGCUCGAUAAAGGACGAAAAGCAAUUGUGAGGCACGAUCUUGGAGACGUCGCGGGUUUAAUACGUGCCCGCAGGUCGGCCCAUGCGCUCAGCUCCCGUCACUAACUCCGCUUCCCCGGGAAAGGCCUUCGAUUCAUGCAGACGACCCAUUCCCAGGCCAGGGCCACCGCACAUGCCCACGGCCACGCGCCUCCCUCGAGGCCCAGCCUCCCGCCCUCUUGGAACUUUGGGGUUCAUUUCGUGACUUGGACCCGCAGACUUGAGCUCCUAUUUGGAGGGGUGGACUGUAGGCUUUGAAACCCGGUGUCACGUUACAGAAAUCACAGGCUUGUUCCUGAGCCACUGUGGGUAGAAUUAAAUAGCAAGACUGCAGGGUUAAAAGUCAAGAAAGCAAUUUUUUAAAAAACUGAUCUGAACUCAUUCUGUAAUAUUUCCUAUUUACAUUGAAGAAAUGUCAAUUCUUGGCUUCAGGCCUCACGAGAGACCAAGGAUUGAAUGAUGCUUAUGAGACAGAUAUAAAUCUUUGAUAAGACAAUAACCGCAGAGAGGGACAUGCCUGGAAACGUUAAGUGGGUUCGAUUCGGUCACAGCUCUCUCCUGCGGCCCUGACUUGACUCACAAACAUCUGGAUGUCCUGCUCAGUCACGUUCCCUGUAUCUGGUGAGGAGGGUGGCCUGUGUGUGACGCGGGCACUUUGCGUCUGGGCCUCUUGGGCACCAUGGGUAAGAGUAGUCAGAAGUGUGCUAAUUGUUCUUUUAUUUGUACUUUGGUCCGCAAAGCUUAAACGCUCAGUUGGCAUUUGUCUUCGUGCCGGAUGUAGCCGUGGCUGUACCCAAAGGCACCGAUUCUGUCUACAGCUUCCCUGCCCGCACAGCCACGUGCAUCACAGACCAGGUCACCUGCUGAGCAUCCCAGUGGCAUCUAGGAAUCAGGGCAAGAGCCCAGGGCAAGAACUGGACAUAAGGAAGGACUGCCAAGCCUUGGCCAGACUCUGGACCUCUUUGUCAGUUUCUCAAACCGUACCCAGGAUCUCGGGUUUGGGAACGAGACUGGUAAGAAGUCCUACUCUGGGGCAGAACGUGCAAUUGGGACAAGACUUAGGAGUUGGGCAGCGAUUCUGAUGAUGAUGCCUUCAGGCAAAGAACCACGUGGAGGGACACAGGUCAGGGCAGGGGACCUGUGGGUCUAACUCGCAAGAGUCUACAAAUUCAGGUGUCAUCAAACUGUCCCAGUCGUGAGGUUCAACCUGCUGCAAAGUGUCAGAACUGUGAAGUUCAACCACCUUUAUGAUUUAUUAAUGACCACUGAUGGCUGGGACCAAAACACAGAUGGAAGAGAACAAGUGACCAGUGGAUGGACUUGUCUAGCGUGAGGCUCAAAAGCACUUCGUUCUUUUUUCUCCCUCCCUGGGAGAGCCAUUAGAUGUCCUUCAGUUUUCCGGUGGGAAGCAGAGAGAGGACUCUUCUGUGACAUGUGUCCUGGCAGCCAGGGCCCAGGCCUCACAAGCCUGAGGUGCCCGGCAUUGGUGGCUGAAGCCGUGGACUUUUGAUAGCCAUCACACUCCUCACAAUUACAAAUACAUUCCUUCCCCUCCGAACCUGGGAGAAUGGGGCCCAGCCCUCCCCACCGCCCAGCUAAUUGCUGAGGGAGCUGCCAGGGUCCUGCCCGGGACAGAAAACAGAGAGUGGGGAGCCCCUCGGGGAAGGCUGGAAGGGGUUCCGAUAAUCGACAGCACAGCCCUCAUCAAUCUCGGAUCCUCAUCGGUCUGUGGCCUAUUAAGCUCUCCCUGUCUGUCAAUAACCCAUUAUUGCUCUCUUGCUGAGCGCUCUGAGGCUAGCUUCCAUUUGGCCAGAGAAAAAUAAUGAUUGUUUGUUUAUUAGUUGGGAGGAGAUGUCCAGCCACAAACGUGCAUUGGGCCAAAGCCAGUUUCUGUCGAGCUCUCCCGUGGCCCAAGCCCUCCCUGCUAGAACCCUGUACUGGUGGAUCCAGAGGCUGAAAUCUGUCCCGAGCAGGUGGCUCAGGGGCUUACCAGGAUCUACGGAUCUUUCCACACAGCCAAGAGCACACCGGCAGCCCUGACUCAUUCCUUAGCCGCUGCUAGGUAGGUGGGGUGCCGCCAUGCCACACAAGGUAAUAUGACAAAGGGACCCAGGCUGGUCUGGCCAUGGCCUGGAGCCUUUCCCGCUGAGCUCUGGGAGGCCUCGGCUGGAAGCUGCUGGCUGAGAGUCUGGCAACCAUUCGGAGUCAGGGCCACCGGGGCUGGGCUGUGCUGGGCGUGAGCAACCACUUCCCGUUUCCCUCUGCUGGCCCUCUGCCCCCAGCCUCUCUCCACCGCCUCCCUCAGCAAGGUCAUACUGACGGGAUGCAAAGCUCAGUUCUGCCACUUAUGAGCGGUGAGAUCUCGGCAAAUUGACUCCUCUGAGCUUCGAGGGGCUCCUAUAAUAAACAGGAAUCUUGCGACUGUGCCAUGGGAUCGACAUGAGAUGACAUAUGAUGUCGACCAUCUUACCAUUGUUCUGAGGACAUUAGCAUCCCUCACCACCCCCAGCAUUUGUGCAUCCUGUUCUGGAGGAUCAGUAGGAGUUCAGCUGAGUCCAGAGGUGGUAACAAACGACCCCGAAUCCGCGUGGUUUACAGCAGCCAAGAGUUCGGUCUUUCUCACGCUCACGUUCAUGGGGGGUCUGCAGAGCUCGGUUCCACGUCGCCUUCACUCCAGGACCAAGGCUGACGGACAGCAGUCCCACCCGGCUGAGGAAGAGGCAACGGUGGGAGCGGUCACGGCGCUUCAGGCGUCUGCUUGGACCCAGCACACAUCGGUUCCACUACAUCUCGCUGCCUGAGGGACCAGCCUGCCUCAGUGCAGCAGAAGUCAGGACCCUCCCUCAGGGAUGGGCCAUGAAUGUCUUGACAAUACGUAAUCUGCCCCAUAAUAAAGCCUUACACCCGGGCUUCA